CUGGGAAUCUUGCAUUUUAUUUUCACUUUGGGUAGCUGAGGGUGAGGAAGAGGCUCAGGGGCUUUUGCGGAAGGAGAAGUCCCGGAGUGCGGAGGUGGAGCAUUGUGCUGGCGCCAUCUUCUCUUCCUUUCUGCAGCCUCUCACAGUAGGUACAGCAAUUCAGUGAGGAGGUGCAAUGCUUCCUGCACCGCUGGGUUCUAGCUUACAAAAGUCAGUGCCAGCAGAAGCCACCACCCCACCUGCCCUUCUGACCACCCUCAUGUCCUUCCACUUCCGGCUCUGCCUAGCCUCAGACCAAAGCCCGGCAGGGAUCGAAGAGGCACCUCUCUACACAAGUCCUUCUUCUGACCCCCAGGCCAGUGGCUCCAUUUUCUGUCUUCCCUGUGGGCUGUGAUUCAUGGUAGAUAUUAGAAAGGAAACAGCAUCCUUCAAUUCUUUCUACCAUUUCUCUUAUCUUUACAGGGUUCUUAUUAAGCAGUAUCUUCAAACUUAUUUAUGUGAUGUCACACUAGGAGGCAGUGUUGUCAAUGGGCCACUUCCCAUGAGCAUUGAACUCAGUAGAAAUAAGAGCCCAAUAAAUGCCACGUUGUCUCCACGAGGAAUCUGCUUCUCUGGUCCUGAAAGGGAGCGCUGGAAGAUAACCAGCCUGACAGUGACUCUGAAAGGAGGGUGGUACCGUUCCAGCUGGAGGAGGAAGGAGUGGCACCUCAGAAGUGAAGCACACUAUUCACAGCCCGCUGCUUGUGAAUGGCAGGGACAGUCUGCAGUCUCUGGAUAGCGACACCACACCUCACCCUUCCAGCCCGGCUGGACCACGCCUUCCUCGGCUGAGGACUAAGUGUCCGGAGGGAAGGAGUCUGAGAAGAAGCCCCUAGGGGGGUCCACUGCCGGUCUAUUCCUCAUGGUUCAGGCUUCCGAAGGUGAGCCAGCCCAGGCUGAGCAAAAAGAAAUGGGGGUCUAUAGGUCACCCUCAAGUUUCCAGUGUGGCAGGGAUGGGCUACCAGUAUGGAUAACUGCCAUGCUGGCUUUCUCUUUUCUUUUCUUUUCUUUUCUUUUCUUUUCUUUUCUUUUCUUUUCUUUUCUUUUCUUUUCUUU
rnacentral:lncRNA from 1 species